rnacentral:lncRNA from 12 species
AGCAUAAUAAAUAUUUUCUUUGUGUCCCAAACAGUUGCUGUGUGUGUUGCUCCGUUGAAUUAUGAGGCAACUGAAGGAGAGAAUGUUACUAUCUCCUUCAAAACUGCUGAACUGGAGAGAGCCGAUCAAGUGAAGAUAACUCUGACCAGAGGAAGUCAGAAAAAACUGAUUGCGCAGCACUGUCGCUGUGUCCAUCGUGGAGACUGUAGUGUUGUGGAAACAUCGGGAGUCUUACUGAGAGCUGAAGAAGGAACCGUAACUCUUCUGCGUGUCAGCUCCAAUAACUCAGGCCUCUAUGAAGUAAUAAUCAUUGGAAGUAAUGUGUCCAGGAUAAAUGCCACACUUGUUGUCAACGAACCUCUGUUGUCCUCCAGUAAAAAGCCACCACAAUCCUCCAUCACAAACCCUCCAGACUCCUCUGAACGCCAAAGGCUUUAUGUGUUAAUUGCUUCAGUUGUAUUCAUCUUGGUGGUCUUGGGGGGUUUGUUUCUUCUGUACAUUUUCAAGAGGAAAUGUAAGUCAUCAGCUGAUGUUGAAGCAGUGUGCUGAACCGCUGCUGUCUCCAGAUUCAGUAUCUUCAAAAAAAAAAUUUAAGACUGAAGAUCAGCUGGUGGAGUUUUAAAACUCGAAAUAUUAGGGCUUCACUGAUAUCCAGGUGUUCAGAAUGACAUCUGAUGGUACAGAUCUCACACUUUGUGCUGUAUGGUUUGCAUUUCCUCAUUCUGUAAAAUGCUUCAGCUACAGGCCUAUAUGUCAGUUUUUAAGAAACACAGUUUCUCAGAAGCAAUACUGUAAGGGAUACAGGAAACCCACUUUAUUUAGUUCACUAAUACUGAAAUUAACAACAGAGCACAAACUGUUAUAUUCAGCUGCUGUUUAUUUUAGGAUCUUCUAAUUACACUCCAAAAAACGUCAAUUAAAACAGUUGUAUACAAAAAAAUGUAUUUGCACAUAAAAACUUUAUUUAGAUUUAAAUUUACGUUAAUAACUAUCAAUAAGCUCCUCCUAAAAUGUUUUAAUAGCUAACAAAGUCUAGUAAAAGCGAUGACUUGCACUGCCUAAAACGGCAUUAUUUUUUUUACAUUUUGUAAAUUAUUGCAUUAACUACUGCACAUCACAUGACUGGCAGGAUACAGUCAGCCCCGAUCAGCAGCGGUUUCUAAACAAAGAUAAUUGCUUUUAUCAGCCAAAACAUGAUAGAUACUUUAGCCUUAUUCAUACUGUUGGUCCAGAUUUGUUUUUUGUGUGUAUCUGAUUGGAAUCUGAUCAUAUUUAGUAAAACUGUUAGAAGCUGUCUGCCCUAGACAUUCCAACGCAACAUCGUUGCCAUAGAAACCAAUUCAAAUAUUCCAGAAAAUUGAAAGACGGUCAGUGAUUUCAGAUCUGGACUGAGAGUCAGAAUGUAGCCUUUGAAGCCAAUGAACCUGCCAAACUAUCAGAUGCAGUUAUUUAUUCUUCAUCAAGUAUUCAUAAAUACCAUCAGGGUAUCUUUUUAUUUUAUUUUUUUUUUUUUUUGACUCUUGUGGCACUGUUGUUAGGCUGUGUGCUUUAUGAAUCAAAUCUCAAUGCUGUUCUGCUGUAUGACAGUAUGAAUGUGUAUCUAUUACUAAAAAAGACAAAGGGGACAGUAAAUUUUUGCUGCAUAUCUGUGUGCACUUUUAUAUAUAUUAAUGCACUGUGUAACUUAUUUAAUCCCUUGCUGAUUUCUAAUAUCUAUCUUUAUACAUCUUUUAAUAUUUUCAGUUUUUAUUCUUCUUGUACUGUUACAUAUAUUCAUAGUAUUUAUAUGAAGGCUGAACUAAUAAUCUAUGUGUCUGUUAUGAACUGAUAAACAAGUCCAUGGUGCACCUGGGAACUGAGCCAUAGAGACAUAUGUAGUGAUUUCUGUUCUCUGGUACUUCUCAUCUGACACUUGAGUUGUAAACCGCAUUAAUAAAAGACUCCUCGUCUCCACCCUGGACUCCUUGUCUCUUCAUUCAUGAUCCAACAAAUACAAAUUUGUCAUGUAUGUACAUGUAUAAAAAUCUUUUCUUUUUUUUUUAAUUGACAAAACAGUAUAUUGCAAUCUUAGAAAUAUUGUUUGAUCAAACUUCCCCUUAUUAUAUGUUGAUUGCUAGAAUCCACCAAAAAAAAAAAAAACAUUAAACGUAAAAUUGCACAAAUAAAAUAUAGGUCUAAGUAGUCACCAAAUAGUAGGCUAUAUUACUGCGACUCUUAUUUUACAUCUCAACAACAGGUCACUAUCCAUUACCUUCAUGAAAUAAGUAAAUCCAGUAUAUGACUAAUUUCAUUCAUUGCAUUUGGAGGUAUCAGCUAAAUCCAAACUCACACACUCAUAUACAGACUACUAGUGGUGGUGGAACCCAAUUCCACAAAGAACAAGUUUCAUGAGACUUUGCUUUGCACAACUUUCCCCAAUUCUGUAACUGAAUGAACCCACGGCCACACGUUUCUGAAAAGAGCGCUAAAAGACUAGUAAAACUAGUAGCAUUGUUUUUAAAAUAAGCAUUAAAUAAUCAUUUUACAUUGAGAUAAGCAUUUAAACAAUAAAAACAACGGACACAUGACAGUUUCAGCCCUGAGAAGAGCUGAAUAGUGCUGAAUUAAAUUAACUGAGUGCUGGCUUUUGGAUGCUCUAUACUGAACAAAAAGUAAAACAGAUAUUUUUGACAUGUUGUCAGUCAGUGACACGUCCGUUUGGAGGCAUGAAGAUUUGGAUGCAAGUCAAAGUAGCAUUUGUUAGACCUACGGAGAGAACAACAGAAAAAGAGAGGAAUCUCACACAAUUAAAUCACAUCUUAAAACUUACUGGAAUCACAGAGGGAUGGGAUAUUGUUUUGCAGCAAGUUGGUCAUGUUUUUAUUCUGACUCUUUCCACUUCACAUUCUUCACCACUCGGAUGAGGUCAGUAGAUAAAAGUUUAAAAAUGCUCUUGGGACUCAAUCUGUCUUGGUUGAGGCUGAAAAAGGGAUACAGCUGCGGCUACAGGGCACGACCACAUCAAUAUUGAGUAAUAUUUGUCACGCUGAACAACAAUUACUACUGUAUUACGUAAGUAAGUAACUUUAUUGUAGGGGGUUACAACAGCAAUAUCAAUCACAUAUUAAAUAGUACAGUAGGUACGCCUCACUUUCCGGCGAUGAUUGUCCUUCUAACAAACUCCUUUGGUAUAGUGACAGACUCGUUUCCUGUUCUUCACUCUCUUGUUGCUGCUUUAUGGUGGAUCGCAGUUAGUAAGUGCCUUUCGUUNUCACUCUCUUGUUGCUGCUUUAUGGUGGAUCGCAGUUAGUAAGUGCUAACUUGCUAAUUUCGUUUCCUGUUUCUUUUUGUUUUUGUUUUUUUUUACAUUAACAUUCACCUCGUGAGUAUACUGUGGGGCGGGCUUGACUGACAAUUGGCCAACCUUCAACACAUUGGACCAGUAAACAUACAUGGUCCCCUGUGCAUUACCACUCCCCUUGCUAGCUAUCAGAGGAAGUAUAUUUUCUUUGAGUAUGAAUCAUUCUUCUAGUAUUAUAGGCUUCUGUUUAUUCUGUGCUCUGGGAGAAGUAGGCUAUUCCUCCAAGUCCAGGGAAGAGAGUUCAUUUUUCGAAUCACAUCGAACAUGCAAAGCUCCAAUACAA